UACGUAGGGGGCAAGCGUUGUCCGGAAUCAUUGGGCGUAAAGAGCGUGUAGGCGGCUCGAUAAGUCCGCUCUGAAAGCCCGGGGCUCAACCCCGGGAGGCGGGCGGAAACUGUCGGGCUAGAGUCCGGAAGAGGCGAGUGGAAUUCCCGGUGUAGCGGUGAAAUGCGCAGAUAUCGGGAGGAACACCAAUGGCGAAGGCAGCUCGCUGGGACGUGACUGACGCUGAGACGCGAAAGCGUGGGGAGCAAACAGG
rnacentral:rRNA from 2 species